AUACGGAGGGGGCUAGCGUUGUUCGGAAUUACUGGGCGUAAAGCGCGCGUAGGCGGAUUGAUCAGUCAGGGGUGAAAUCCCGAGGCUUAACCUCGGAACUGCCUCUGAUACUGUCAAUCUUGAGUUCGAGAGAGGUGAGUGGAAUUCCUAGUGUAGAGGUGAAAUUCGUAGAUAUUAGGAAGAACACCAGUGGCGAAGGCGGCUCACUGGCUCGAUACUGACGCUGAGGUGCGAAAGCGUGGGGAGCAAACAGGAUUAGAUACCCUAGUAGUCC
rnacentral:rRNA from 1 species